rnacentral:rRNA from 1 species
UAGGGUGCAAGCGUUAAUCGGAAUUACUGGGCGUAAAGCGUGCGCAGGCGGCUUUGCAAGACAGAUGUGAAAUCCCCGGGCUUAACCUGGGAACUGCAUUUGUGACUGCAUGGCUGGAGUGCGGCAGAGGGGGAUGGAAUUCCGCGUGUAGCAGUGAAAUGCGUAGAUAUGCGGAGGAACACCGAUGGCGAAGGCAAUCCCCUGGGCCUGCACUGACGCUCAUGCACGAAAGCGUGGGGAGCAAACAGG